GACGAACGCUGGCGGCGUGCUUAACACAUGCAAGUCGAACGGAAAGGCCCUGCUUUUGUGGGGUGCUCGAGUGGCGAACGGGUGAGUAACACGUGAGUAACCUGCCCUUGACUUUGGGAUAACUUCAGGAAACUGGGGCUAAUACCGGAUAGGAGCUCCUGCUGCAUGGUGGGGGUUGGAAAGUUUCGGCGGUUGGGGAUGGACUCGCGGCGUAUCAGCUUGUUGGUUGGGUAGUGGCUUACCAAGGCCUUGACGGGUAGCAGGCCUGAGAGGGUGACCGGCCACACUGCGACUGAGAUACGGCACAGACUCGUACGGGAGGCAGCAGUGGAGAAUAUUGCACAGGGGGCGGAAGGCUGGUGCAGCAAAGCAGCGUGGGGGAUGACGGGCUGCGGGUAGUGAACCGAUUUCGCCUGUGACGAGGCGUGAGUGACGGUAAUGGGUAAAGAAGCACCGGCUAACUACGUG
rnacentral:rRNA from 1 species